rnacentral:rRNA from 1 species
ACUGCUCAGUAACACGUGGACAACCUGCCCUUAGGUUGGGUAUAAACCCGGGAAACUGGGUAUAAUACCCGAUAGGUCUCGAUUGCUGGAAUGCAUCGAGAUUUAAAGCUCCGGCGCCUAAGGAUGGGUCUGCGGCCUAUCAGGUAGUAGUGGGUGUAGCGUACCUACUAGCCUACGACGGGUACGGGUUGUGAGAGCAAGAGCCCGGAGAUGGAUUCUGAGACACGAAUCCAGGCCCUACGGGGUGCAGCAGGCGCGAAAACUUUACAAUGCUGGCAACAGCGAUAAGGGAACCUCGAGUGCCAGGUUACAAAUCUGGCUGUCGAGAUGCCUAAAAAGCAUUUCAUAGCAAGGGCCGGGCAAGACCGGUGCCAGCCGCCGCGGUAACACCGGCGGCUCGAGUGGUAACCGUUAUUAUUGGGUCUAAAGGGUCUGUAGCCGGCCGGAUAAGUCUCUUGAGAAAUCUGGCAGCUUAACUGUCAGGCUUUCAGGAGAUACUGUCUGGCUCGAGGCCGGGAGAGGUGAGAGGUACUUCAGGGGUAGGGGUGAAAUCCUGUAAUCCUUGGGGGACCACCUGUGGCGUAGGCGCCUCACCAGAACGGCUCCGACAGUGAGGGACGAAAGCUGGGGGAGCAAACCGGAUUAGAUACCCGGGUAGUCCCAGCCGUAAACGAUGCGCGUUAGGUGUAUCGAUGACCACGAGUCAUCGAGGUGCCGAAGGGAAACCGUGAAACGCGCCGCCUGGGAAGUACGGUCGCAAGGCUGAAACUUAAAGGAAUUGGCGGGGGAGCAC